CUUGGGCAGCAAUUCUGCCCCAGCAAUACCCCCAUACUCUAGGUCUCCCCACACAGGGGAACCCCCAACCCUCUAAACCCACCUUGCCUCAGUGGCUACUGGCAGUCAUCAUCUAGCCUCCGCUCACUAGGGCAGACUGCAGUCUAUAACGGCCACUCAUCAUCAGCAAGGGGUUAGGACCUGCUACCUUUGCCUAUCCCUGGGCUGCCUCUCUGCAGCCCCA